rnacentral:rRNA from 1 species
AGAGUUUGAUCCUGGCUCAGGACGAACGCUGGCGGCGUGCUUAAUACAUGCAAGUCGAACGAGGUCCAUCCGGUGGCAACACCGGAGAAGACCUAGUGGCGAACGGGUGAGUAGCACGUGAGCAACCUGCCCCGAAGACUGGGAUAACACCGGGAAACCGGUGCUAAUACCGGAUACCCCCAUCGGACCGCAUGAUCUGAUGAGGAAAGGAUUCUGCUUCGGGAGGGGCUCGCGGCCUAUCAGCUUGAUGGUGAGGUAACGGCUCACCAUGGCAACGACGGGUAGCUGGUCUGAGAGGACGAUCAGCCACACUGGGACUGAGACACGGCCCAGACUCCUACGGGAGGCAGCAGUAGGGAAUCUUGCGCAAUGGGCGAAAGCCUGACGCAGCAACGCCGCGUGAGGGACGAAGGCUUUCUGAGUUGUAAACCUCUUUCAGCAGGGACGAUUGUGACGGUACCUGCAGAAGAAGCACCGGCCAACCACGUGCCAGCAGCCGCGGUGAUACGUAGGGUGCGAGCGUUGUCCGGAUUUAUUGGGCGUAAAGAGCUCGUAGGCGGUUCGAUAAGUCGGGUGUGAAAUCUCCAGGCUCAACCUGGAGUCGCCACUUGAUACUGUCGUGACUAGAGUCCGGUAGGGGACCAUGGAAUUCCUGGUGUAGCGGUGAAAUGCGCAGAUAUCAGGAGGAACACCAGUAGCGAAGGCGGUGGUCUGGGCCGGCACUGACGCUGAGGAGCGAAAGCGUGGGGAGCGAACAGGAUUAGAUACCCCUGUAGUCC